ensembl:snRNA U6 U6 spliceosomal RNA
GUACUUCAGCAGCAAAUGUACUAAAAGUGUACUAAAAAUACAGAGAAGAAUAACAUGGCCCCUUAUGCAAGGAUGACAUGGAAAUUUGUGGAGCGUUCCAUAUUUUU